rnacentral:rRNA from 1 species
GCGUUAAUCGGAAUUACUGGGCGUAAAGCGUACGCAGGCGGCUUUGCAAGACAGGUGUGAAAUCCCCGGGCCUAACCUGGGAACUGCAUUUGUGACUGCAUGGCUAGAGUUUGUCAGAGGGGGGUGGAAUUCCACGUGUAGCAGUGAAAUGCGUAGAUAUGUGGAGGAACACCGAUGGCGAAGGCAGCCCCCUGGGAUGUGACUGACGCUCAUGUACGAAAGCGUG